CAGUAGCCGCGGUAAUGCGGAGGGUGCAAGCGUUAAUCGGAAUUACUGGGCGUAAGGCGUGCGUAGGCGGUUCGUUAAGUCUGUUGUGAAAGCCCCGGGCUCAACCUGGGAAUGGCAAUGGAUACUGGCGAGCUAGAGUGUGUCAGAGGAUGGUGGAAUUCCCGGUGUAGCGGUGAAAUGCGUAGAGAUCGGGAGGAACAUCAGUGGCGAAGGCGGCCAUCUGGGACAACACUGACGCUGAAGCACGAAAGCGUGGGGAGCAAACAGGAUUAGAGACCCGUGUAGUCCCUGUCUCUUAUAC
rnacentral:rRNA from 1 species